rnacentral:lncRNA from 1 species
UUUAACCUCAACCUCGAGACGACGCCGCUUUGGGGACGACCAAGCUGCCGCUUCCCCCUACGACUUCGGUCCCCUCCUCACCUUCCUCGCCAACUCAUUGUCAUCCGAUAAUGAUUCCGCCUCCUCCUCUUCCUCUUCGUCCUCCUCCUCCUCUUCCUCUUCGUCCUCCUCCUCCUCCACCUCCUCUCCAACCUCACUCGACCCGUCCGAGUUCCAGCUGGCCCAGUCCUACCGCGCUGUCCCUGCUCCACUCUGGCACUCCCUCCUCAAGUCCCUCUGCGCCUCCCACUCCUCCUCCGACAUUGGACUUGCCUACGCCGUCGUUUCGUG